ensembl:lncRNA
GUUUUUGCCAAAAGCGCUGUUCUUGUCAUUUCCCAUAAAAAGCAUGAAGGUGGUGGUGUUGGGAGAUGGGGAGGGGACGUGUGCGGAUCACCCUCUAGGUGCCACGUGCUGCCAUCCAUGGGCGGCGGUGACGUUUGGCGCAGGUUUCGCAUCGCUGCACAAUUUGAUGUCAUCGUCAGAUCUGCCCUGUGCUGGGAAAUGGGACCCGUCAGUGCCGGCAAUUCACACAAGAACAGUCUUCCUCCACUGUCUGAAAUCUCAGUAACCUGCUGCUGUGCCCCAGGAACCACAACGCAGCCUCCUGCCCAGGUUGAUGUUGGAACUCAUCUCCUUGGGAGCCCUUGGGAGCUGCUGGAUUGCCCCAUUUGGUUGUCCUUUCAGUACCUCCUCCUGCUGACGGAGCCUAUGGACCUCAUGUCCAAAGCUUGUCAGGUAGAAAUGUGACCAAACCCGAUGUUUUAUAGAUAGGUGAUAAAGGUGAGCAUAGAGUACAGACUCAAUAAUGCACCAAAGAUUACCCAGCAAUACCUGAGGUACAGCUCCACACUGAACCUAGAAAUCCUAAACUUUAAUCACAAGCUAUUCUUGUUCCUCCUUUUCAUGACAAUGUUGUGAGAAGGUUAAUUUUGUAUUAAAAUCGAGUUAAAUCAAUGCAGAUACAAUGGAAGCAGA